ACCACCAGCACCACUUCCCACGAGCCGCACCUCACACCACCACCAGCACCACGCCAUCUCCAUCUUCGCCGCCGCGCCACCGCUCGCACAAUCUCUUCUUCCCCUGCUGCUCCUUCCUUCUCCUCACCACGCUGCUGCUUCCCCUCUCACGCCCCUGGUACUGCUCCUUCUCACAUUCCUGCUGCUGCUGCUGCUCGUCUUGUGCCCCUGGUGCUGCUCCUCCUUCCCUCGUCCUUGCUGCUGCUCUCUCCCUCUCUGUUGCUCUUCUCUGAAUCCCCUACUGCUGCUACUCCACUUCCUGUGCUCCCCUUCUUCUUCUAUGAAUCUCGCUGCUGCUGCUCCUCCUCUUAAAACGGCUGCUGCUCCCUCUCCCACUUUCCUCGCUGCUGUUCCCUCUCUCUUCUCACCAAAAUUGCUGAUGUCCUCUUCUCCAUUUGCGUGCUGCCACACCCUUCCUGAAGCUCUCUCAACUUUAUUUUGUUCUGUAUUAGUACUAUUUUGUCUGUAUGUCAGUUAGUUUGCUGUAAUAAUUCAGAUUACUUGUGAUCUUUGUGUUGAAUGUGAUUUCAGUGAACUUGAGAUUUGUAAUAUUGCUCAAUAUUCAGUCUAUAAUGUCUAAAACUUUGUGAUUCGGUGGUGUCUAUAUUCAAUAUAUAUAACCUGUGAUAUAUAUCUUUUAGAUGGUUCAAUCUUUUAGUUAUUGUUGUACUGAUAUAUGUUAAGGUGAUUUGGCUUGUGUGAUACGAGUCUAGUACAUGUGCUAUAUAAAUUCGUGUGUGUUUCUGGUGUAAACCAUCUAUAUUGUGUCUUUUAAUCUUGUUUCUUCCUUCUUCUUACAUGUUAGAUGGUUAUGUGUUCAUGUGUUGCAUCUUCUCGGUGUGUAUUUUAAUUCUUCUAGUAUAAUAAAAAUACCAAAAAGACAGUGAAGAAAAUCUGAACCUUCCUUUGCCCUUUUUGCAUUUUCUUUGGUGACGAUCUUUGGGUACAACCUUGUUUAGUGUAGGUUUAUUUUCUUGCAUUCAUAAUCUGAAUUGUGUUACCUAGCUUUAGCCAAGCACGUUCAUUGAUUUGCCUAGUCCCUGAGGAGAACACGACACUCGUAGUUUGGGGCGUAAAAACCCCGCUAUAUUACAACUGAUCAUUUUGGCGCCGUUGCCGGGGACUAGCGUCGUGUGACUGUGUUAGGCUUUAGACUAGGUUUAGCUUGUUUCCUUUUUGUGCUUUAUAUAUUUGUGAUAUAUCUCUAGCCACUAACCCCUAUUCUAGUUAGUAUCUUUUCGUCUUCUUUUCCUUUUUUGCAGGUUGGAUUAUCCUCUCGGCUAUGGCUUACUAUUCAGGCUUAUGCGAGGAACACUACAAACAGCACGGAAAGUGUUCAAGAACUGAUAGGUAAGAUUUCCCAUCGAUUAGAUGAUUUAGCUCGGCAGCGAGAAGGAGUUUUUGAGGAUAGGCCUAGUUCUUACGAUCCUUAUUCCAGAGGCCAUCCUUAUGUUGCUCCUACUUGCCAUAUUUGUGGAUUUCAGGGCCAUUCGCCCGCUGAAUGUCAGCGUGGUUACUCCCAUCCUACGGAUUGUUUUGGCAUGAGCUUCGCUCAACAGCAUAGCUCAUACCAAAACAAUUACUCACAUGGGUGGCCUGAAAGCCUGAAUAUGUCAUAUAGGAGCAACAACCCUAAGAUCUCACAGUUUGGUUCUAGUAAUCAUAUGCAGGGAUUUAGGUACAAUGAGGAGAGCCACAACUAUGCACCACAACAAUUCCAUUCAGCUCCUACUCAUAUACCACAGCACCAGGAGAUGUGUCCAAUGGAGUUAAAUGGUCCUCCAUUUGGUCAACCAACAACUCCAGCACCUGUUGUGCAAUCUCAUGUGCAAGUGCCCACACAAGAUGAGUUCAAUGACAUAGACAAGCUCACACUUUUGAGUCUCGAGUUCACUUGGAGUGCCGAGGAUGAUCCUAUUAGGAAGGUUAUACUAGAUGAAAUGAAGAAGAUCAAGAGUGGAAAAGAGCUAGUGGAAGAAGUAAGGAAGAUUGAGAACAACAUCAACACUGGCAGCACUAUUUCUUCACAGCUAGAGCUGAGUGUUGCCGAGAUUCCCCUUGAUACAUGUGAGGUUCCAACACCGUCACAUCCAGUUGAGCAAGAUAGUAAGAGUCCAGAGGAAGAAAGACCUCAGAUUGAAGAAGAUGAACUAGAAGACAAGGAACAAGAUGAUCAAGAGCUGCAAUUCCCAAGUGAUCAAGUUGAAGACUCAUCAUCUACUACUCCUAAAGAAGUACAAGAAGCUGCUGUAGAUGAAGAUGAAGAACAUGAGAUUCAUUUGCCUAUUGUCAUACCAGAGCGUGAUGUGUCAGGUUUACCCAAUCCUCUUGAUGACAUGAUGCCUUGUAAUUUCUUUGCUACUACCUUGCAUUACAUGAUACCAUCAAUUAAGCUAGACUUGAAAAAUUAUUUGCUUGGACAUGAUCAUACAUACAUUGUUGGUGGCAUUGCUCUCAUUCCUGAUGAUGACACUUAUUUUCCUUAUGCUAGUUCUAUGCUUAAUGAAACAUAUUAUUCCCAUGCUAGUCUUGAGCUUAAUGAUAAAUUUCAUCCUCAUGUUAGUGUCGACCUUGCUGAUUUCUACCAUCCUAAACAUGUGCUUUAUAGUUAUGCUUAUAUAAUUGGAUAUUACAUUGAUGACUUGGAGGGCAUCGACCGUAUCACUUGUAGUUGUUUGUGUGAGUCCUAUUUCAGGCUUUUGCUACUGCACUGUUUACUACAUGCUGACCAGGUUCGAGGUGACAUUCCUUGGGAUCCUGGUGGAGUCAGAGCAUGGCGAUGAGGAGAAGCAAUGGGGCACACAUAUGGAAGAGUGAAGCUGGAGCAUCCAUGAGGAAGCAAGGGAGAAGAGCUGCAGCUGGUGAGGUGAUCGAGCGAGUGCUACAUCAUCAAAGCCCGGUGAGCUGUUUCAUGACCCAUUCUGAAUAUCAUAAAUACAUGCUGAAUUAAAUUGCUAGUUGGGUUGCUUGAGCUAGUUAUUACUUGUUGUCAAGCUGAAAUUCACCUUUGGCAUUGUGCUUGAUGUGAAUUUGUGAACUUGAUUUCUGAAUGCCUUGUAAACUAGUGAUCUACACCAUGCAUGCUUUGCUGAAAUUUGUGGAAGUUAUUAGUUUUGAGUGCUCAAAUCCCUAGUACACUAGAAAACUUGAUCAUUUUCUGCUUUUACCUUGAUACACCUAGAUCACCAUGUUUAGAUGCUGAAUUUGUGCUAAGUGUGUUCCCAUUGAGAGCAAUCACCUAACCACUAUGGAUUAGCAUGCUAUGUUCCCUGGAUCGGUAGCAUGUGAACCAGACAUGGAGAAGCGAUGAUUCCUAUUUUUGUGCUUAUGAGUUGUUCAUUUAAGAUAAGUAAUAAUGAAUAUAUAAGUCUGGCUACCUACAGUAGCAUGUCAUGUUACCGGGAUCGGUGGCAUGUGAAAUCGGGUUAGCUUGGGCAGUAAUUAAUAAUAAUAAAAAUGUAAUUGUCGAACCAGGUGUAUACCAUGUUCUCGGGAUCGGUGGUAUGUUCCUUUGGGGAGACAAAUAAUUUUUUUUAAUUAAAAUUGGUUGAGCCAGGUGUAUACCAUGUUCUCGGGAUCGGUGGUAUGUUCCUUCGGUGAGACUAAUAAAUUAUUAUGUGUGUUUCUUUCAAAUUCAAUAAGUGGUUCAACCACAAAGUCAUAUUUCUGCAAAUAAGAGACUUAAUUCUAGUUCUUUUUGUUCUCGGGAUCAUGCUCUCUUUAGGAACCAUUUGGCGCAGUCAUCAUUUAAACUUGUUGAUCCUCUUUUAUCACUUUAAAAGUUUAAAAUGGUCAUGCUUACUAGUAUCCUACUGCUUUGUAGCACUCCUAACCAUUAAUUUUCACUAGCUAAGUCUGAAGCAUGCCUUGUUUGGAGAUCUAUUUUACCAGGACAUUCCUUACUCAGUUUACUAUUCAUUAUCUUGCCUUUGUCAUAUUCCUUUGCUUGAGGACAAGCAAAGAUUUAAGUGUGGGGGAACUUGAUAAGUGCAUUUCAUAUAUAUAAUUUGGCACUCAAAUUUAGCAUCUAUCGUGAUUUAUCCAUCCAUUCUUGCUAUGAGUUUAAAUAUAUUUGAAUGAAAAUCAUAUAAAAGAUCAUUUACUUGUCAUUUGUUUAUUUUGCAGAAAAGUGCGAUAAGGCACUAUAAUCUUGAAGAUCUUGUCUACAAAGAAAGAGGAUACAAGACCGAGGGCCAAUAGAAGAGAAGGGGGGACUCGAGUAUGAAGAAUUAAAGAAAUGGAGGGCCAAAACUAAAGAAGAAAGGGAUCUACUUGAGGCUAAAGAAGAGAAGAAGGAGGGCAAAAGUGCAAAAAUGCAGAUCUGGGAGGGGAUCAAAAUCCCUAGCCGCAUCUCCAUUGCAAUCAGGCCUGGCAUCUCCAUCUCCCUCACCCUCCUUCUCCACCUCCGGCCGCCGCCACGGCCAGGCCGGCGUGGUGGUGCGCCCCUCACCAUCACACCAUCACCAUCGCCUCUAGCCACGACCAUCUCCACCAUGCACCACCAGCACCACUUCCCACGAGCCGCACCUCACACCACCACCAGCACCACGCCAUCUCCAUCUUCGCCGCCGCGCCACCGCUCGCACAAUCUCUUCUUCCCCUGCUGCUCCUUCCUUCUCCUCACCACGCUGCUGCUUCCCCUCUCACGCCCCUGGUACUGCUCCUUCUCACGUUCCUGCUGCUGCUGCUCGUCUUGUGCCCCUGGUGCUGCUCCUCCUUCCCUCGUCCUUGCUGCUGCUCUCUCCCUCUCUGUUGCUCUUCUCUGAAUCCCCUACUGCUACUACUCCACUUCCUCUGCUCCCCUUCUUCUUCUCUGAAUCUCGCUGCUGCUGCUCCUCCUCUUAAAACUGCUGCUGCUCCCUCUCCCACUUUCCUCGCUGCUGUUCCCUCUCUCUUCUCACCAAAAUUGCUGCUGUCCUCUUCUCCAUUUGCUUGCUGCUACACCCUUCCUGAAGCUCUCUCAACUUUAUUUUGUUCUGUAUUAGUACUGUUUUUGUCUGUAUGCCAGUUAGUUUGCUGUAAUAAUUCAGAUUACUUGUGAUCUUUGUGUUGAAUGCGAUUUCAGUGAACUUGAGAUUUGUAAUAUUGCUCAAUAUUCAGUCUAUAAUGUAUGAAACUUUGUGAUUCGGUGGUGU
rnacentral:lncRNA from 1 species